rnacentral:lncRNA from 10 species
UAAUCUUUAUGCCUCAGCCUCCCAGGUAGCUGAGACUACCCACACCUUGGUCCCAGCUACUUGGGAGGCUGAGGUGGGAAAAUCACUUUGCCCAGGAAUUCAAGGCCGCAGUGAGCUAUGAUUGCACCACUGCACUCCAGGCAACAGAGUGAGACCCUGUCUUAAAAAAAAGAAGGGAGAAAGUGUCAGAUGGUGAUGAGGUCUGGGGGGGAAAUAGAGAAUGGGGAUCAGGAGUGUGGAUGGUGAUAUUCCCUCACCAAGAGGUGACAUGUGAGCAGGGAGCUGGGAGGUGAGGGUGUGACCCGUGUGGAAAUCAGGGAAAAGCAUUCCAGCCUGAGGGAACAGCCAAUGCAGAGGCCGUGAGGUGGCCAGUGCCACUGAGCAGUGAGCUGGGAUAGGGGCAGGUGAGGAGGCUGGAGAGCGGGGUCAGACAAACAAUAUGCUUAUUAAAACAAGUUGUACAGCACCUGCCUCAAGCCUGAGCUGAAGCUGAAAAUUGGCACUUCAAAGCAGGAGGAAGCAGAGAUGGAGGAAAGCCCUCCUUCCCUACCAGAAUGAGUCCACCUCAGACAGCCAGACUUUGGACCUCUGCCUUUGUUCCUAGAUCUCUGUUGCUAGAUGAAGGAAAGGGCCUCAGGGGAUCCAUCUUCAAAUCAAGGGCUCCCUGGCUACCAAAUUCUGUCUAGUAAAAAUUAUUCGAGCAGCG